rnacentral:tRNA from 1 species
AGCAAGAUAAGCUAAGCAAGCUAUGGGCCCAUACCCCAAUAAUGAAGGUUUAAAUCCUUCUCGUGCUA